rnacentral:tRNA from 1 species
GCGGACGUGGUGAAAUUGGUAGACACGCUAGAUUUAGGUUCUAGUGAGAAAAUCUCGUGAGAGUUCGAGUCUCUCCGUCCGCA